AGAUUGAACGCUGGCGGCAUGCCUUACACAUGCAAGUCGAACGGUAGAGUAGCAAUACUCGAGAGUGGCGAACGGGUGAGUAAUAUAUCGGAACGUGCCCAGUCGUGGGGGAUAACGCAGUGAAAGCUGUGCUAAUACCGCAUACGAUCUAUGGAUGAAAGCGGGGGACUCGCAAGAGCCUCGCGCGAUUGAAGCGGCCGAUAUCAGAUUAGCUAGUUGGUGGGGUAAAAGCCCACCAAGGCGACGAUCUGUAGCUGGUCUGAGAGGACGACCAGCCACACUGGAACUGAGACACGGUCCAGACUCCUACGGGAGGCAGCAGUGGGGAAUUUUGGACAAUGGGCGCAAGCCUGAUCCAGCAAUGCCGCGUGCAGGAUGAAGGCCUUGGGUUGUAAACUGCUUUUUGACGGAACGUAAAGGUCCUUUCUAAUACAAGGGCCCAUGACGGUACGUAAGAAUAAGCAACCGGCUAACUACGUGCCAGCACG
rnacentral:rRNA from 1 species